rnacentral:tRNA from 1 species
GAGGGUACAGCUCAGUGACAGAGAGCAUGCUUAACAUGCACAAGGUCCUGGGUUCAAUCCCUGGUACCUUCG